rnacentral:lncRNA from 1 species
GUACGUUGGCGCAAACUCCUAGCUUAAGGGCGUCUCUAGGGCAUUUGGCUAUUGCCGGGCUAGGACUAGGGUGUGGUGUUGGCUUGGGUUUAGGGUUAGGUUUUGGCUUGGGAGAGGGGCUAGGUUUAUGUUUUGGCUUGGGAGAAGGGCAACCGCAGUUACCGCAGGCGGAUAUUGUUGUGAAGAAAAGGAAGUUGAGGAUCAAGAAAAGAGCUAAAGAUUU